CUCUUUCCAGAUAAAGGAUCCUAGACAUUUGAUCACAUCUCCACUCGUGAUCCAAAUGUCACACUCUACAUCCCUCGGUACAAACCACCAUGUAUCCUUAGGCAUCUAUACUCCACCUCACCAAAAGACACACAACACACUGCUAAUGCAUCCUAACCCACUAUGCAUGCAAGCAAUUACACCAAGUAAUCCUAAUGUCUCAAAUUCAUGCAAAUGCACAUAUCAAACACAUUGAAAUGUAGCAGAUAAUCA
rnacentral:lncRNA from 1 species